UGCCAGCAGCCGCGGUAACACGGGGGGCGCAAGCGUUAUUCGGAAUCAUUGGGCGUAAAGGGCGCGUAGGCGGCUUUGUAAGUCGGAUGUGAAAGCCCUGGGCUCAACCUGGGAAUGGCAUUCGAUACUGCAUGGCUAGAGUAUGGUAGAGGGAAGUGGAAUUUCCGGUGUAGCGGUGAAAUGCGUAGAUAUCGGAAGGAACACCGGUGGCGAAGGCGACUUCCUGGGCCAAUACUGACGCUGAGGCGCGAAAGCGUGGGUAGCAAACAGGAUUAGAUA
rnacentral:rRNA from 1 species